AUAGCCCAUGGAAACGUGGAUUAAUCCCCCAUACCAUUAAUAUGUGGCAUCUUAUAUUAAUGAAAUCUUCGGAGGUAUCAGAUGGGCAUGCGUCCUAUUAGCUAGUUGGCGGGGUAACGGCCCACCAAGGCGAUGAUAGGUAGGGGUUCUGAGAGGAAGGUCCCCCACAUUGGAACUGAGACACGGUCCAAACUCCUACGGGAGGCAGCAGUGAGGAAUAUUGGUCAAUGGCCGGAAGGCUGAACCAGCCAAGUCGCGUGAGGGACGACUGCCCUAUGGGUUGUAAACCUCUUUUAUAAGGGAAGAAUAAAUGCUACGUGUAGCAUGAUGCCUGUACCUUAUGAAUAAGCAUCGGCUAACUCCGUGCCAGCAGCCGCGGUAAUACGGAGGAUGCGAGCGUUAUCCGGAUUUAUUGGGUUUAAAGGGUGCGUAGGCGGUUUUUUAAGUUAGUGGUUAAACGUCGGGGCUUCACCUUGAUUUGCCAUUAAUACUGUAAGACUCGAGUUCAGACGAGGUAGGCGGAAUAAGUUAAGUAGCGGUGAAAUGCUUAGAUAUAACUUAGAACUCCGAUAGCGAAGGCAGCUUACCAGACUGCGACUGACGCUGAAGCACGAGAGCGUGGGUAGCGAACAGGAUUAGAUACCCUGGUAGUCCACGCCGUAAACGAUGCUCACUGGUUCUGUGCGACAUACCGUACGGG
rnacentral:rRNA from 1 species